AGCGAACGCUGGCGGCGUGCCUAACACAUGCAAGUCGCACGAGAAAGGGGUCGCAAGACCCCCGGUACAGUGGCGAACGGGUGAGUAACGCGUGGGUAACCUGCCCUUGGGUCCGGAAUAACCUGCCGAAAGGCGGGCUAAUACCGGGUGACGAUGCGGGGUCUUUGGACCCUGCCUCUAAAGCUGACCUCUUCAUUGAAAGUUGGCGCCUGGGGAGGGGCUCGCGUCCCAUUAGCUAGUUGGUGAGGUAACGGCUCACCAAGGCUACGAUGGGUAGCCGGCCUGAGAGGGCGACCGGCCACAGUGGAACUGAGACACGGUCCACACUCCUACGGGAGGCAGCAGUGAGGAAUCUUGCGCAAUGGGCGAAAGCCUGACGCAGCGACGCCGCGUGGACGAUGAAGGCCUUCGGGUCGUAAAGUCCUGUCGGGUGGGAAGAAUGGGUCUGGGGCUAAUAUCCCCAGGCCUUGACGGUACCACCAGAGGAAGCCCCGGCUAACUCCGUGC
rnacentral:rRNA from 1 species